rnacentral:rRNA from 1 species
GACGAGAGGCUUGCUUCUCUGAUGUUAGCGGCGGACGGGUGAGUAACACGUGGAUAACCUACCUAUAAGACUGGGAUAACUUCGGGAAACCGGAGCUAAUACCGGAUAAUAUUUUAGAACCGCAUGGUUCAAAAGUGAAAGACGGUCUUGCUGUCACUUAUAGAUGGAUCCGCGCUGCAUUAGCUAGUUGGUAAGGUAACGGCUUACCAAGGCAACGAUGCAUAGCCGACCUGAGAGGGUGAUCGGCCACACUGGAACUGAGACACGGUCCAGACUCCUACGGGAGGCAGCAGUAGGGAAUCUUCCGCAAUGGGCGAAAGCCUGACGGAGCAACGCCGCGUGAGUGAUGAAGGUCUUCGGAUCGUAAAACUCUGUUAUUAGGGAAGAACAUAUGUGUAAGUAACUGUGCACAUCUUGACGGUACCUAAUCAGAAAGCCACGGCUAACUACGUGCCAGCAGCCGCGGUAAUACGUAGGUGGCAAGCGUUAUCCGGAAUUAUUGGGCGUAAAGCGCGCGUAGGCGGUUUUUUAAGUCUGAUGUGAAAGCCCACGGCUCAACCGUGGAGGGUCAUUGGAAACUGGAAAACUUGAGUGCAGAAGAGGAAAGUGGAAUUCCAUGUGUAGCGGUGAAAUGCGCAGAGAUAUGGAGGAACACCAGUGGCGAAGGCGACUUUCUGGUCUGUAACUGACGCUGAUGUGCGAAAGCGUGGGGAUCAAACAGGAUUAGAUACCCUGGUAGUCCACGCCGUAAACGAUGAGUGCUAAGUGUUAGGGGGUUUCCGCCCCUUAGUGCUCAGCUACCGCAUUAAGCACUCCGCCUGGGAGUA